rnacentral:lncRNA from 1 species
GGUUGCUGGGAUUUGAACUCAGGGCCUUCGGAAGAGCAGUCGGUGCUCUUAACCACUGAGCCAUCUCUCCAGCCCUAAAACAAGGAUUUUUAGUUUAAGACAAAGUCUCACUCUGUAACCCAGUCUGGUCUCAAAGUUGUGCCAGUCCUUCUAUCAGGAGCAUUGAGAUGAUGUGUGUGGGGCACUAGGCCUGCUUUCCUUGAGACUCUUUCAUAUUGUACAUUUAUAGACCUGUGUGUAUUGAGCUAUCUUUGUAGAAUUAGAAUUAAGCCGACCUGAUCAUGGUGUAUGCUCUAACAUGAUGCUGAAUUGACCUUGCAGGUGUCUCAUGGAGGGUUUUGGUACCCAGGUUAAUCAGGGGAGUGGGUGUAGUUUGCUUUGUUGUUGCAUUCUCACGAAGUCUUGGCAGCAGGCUACCCACGGGCUCUAAGUCAUGUCUGCUUCCUCCAGAGGCCUUUGCCUUUAGCUUUCAACUCAGCAAGAUGCUGAUUAAGAGACCAAACAUAACAUCCUGGGGAACGGCAGCUGCCGUAGAUCACAAGCAACUCGGUGGCCAAGUAGGUGCUCGACAGAAUCAGACAACAUCCUGCAGUCGCAGACACAAACCGUGUUUGUACUUUACCAGACUGGACCAAACUGGAUUGUAAUAUGCAAGACCUCAGGGCUAGCUGGGUUUGGGAUGAAAACUACCCCCGUCGGAAGUCUGCUGAUGGAGGUGGGCACUCAGCACCCUCCCUGGCUCUAAAUCCUGCUCUCCUCCUCUGUAGAAGGAUGCUGUCAUCUGCCUGCAUCUCUGUGACUGUCAUUACAGCUUGGCUUCCAUACGGUGGCCACCCUGUUUCUUGGUGAGCACUGCAGCUGCUCUGGCAGGUAGAGAGGACACUGACCCAGGAGACUCCAUGUAGGUCUCACCUUGGCUGGCUAGCUGUGACAGGCAACUUGGACUGAAAGGGCCCUGCUUUCAAAGGCAUAUGUAGAUGACUGUCCGGCUUGGUCAUUUUCAUCUGUACUCAGAAUUCCAAAGGAGGUGAACUGCAAUAAACUUUACUGUGAAACAGAUCGUCUUGCAUGGAAAUUCAGUCUUUUUGAAACUCAACUGGGAAUUAUAUACAGUGGCUUUAGUGGCUGCCAUUCACAAUAUACACG